rnacentral:rRNA from 1 species
AGCGAACGUUUGCGGCGGGCUUAACACAUGCAAGUCGAACGGGCUGUUCCUUCGGGGGCAGUCAGUGGCGCACGGGUGCGUAACACGUAGGUAAUCAACCCUCUGGUUGGGGAUAACACUUCGAAAGGAGUGCUAAUACCCGGUAUGGCGCAGCGGUCUUCGGAUCGCGGCGAGAAAGACCCGCAAGGGUUGCCAGAGGACGAGCCUGCGGCCCAUCAGCUAGUUGGCGAGGUAACGGCUCACCAAGGCGAAGACGGGUAGCUGGUCUGAGAGGAUGAUCAGCCACACUGGAACUGAGACACGGUCCAGACUCCUACGGGAGGCAGCAGUGGGGAAUAUUGCGCAAUGGGCGAAAGCCUGACGCAGCCACGCCGCGUGAGCGAUGAAGGCCUCGGUCGUAAGUACGUACUCGUGGGUAGGAGGAAGGAAAGUAAAA